AGCAAGGUCAGCUAAAACUAAGCUAUUGGGCCCAUACCCCAAAAAUGAAGAUUAACCCCUUCCCAUGCAA
ensembl:Mt_tRNA